rnacentral:lncRNA from 1 species
GAGGAAAGUAAAGUUCGAAGCCUAAAUGGUUGACAUGCAAUGGGGCCAUAUUUGAAAGGCGUCAACUAAUGUGCUGGAAGUAGCAUCCGACAAACUACAAGGAUCACAAUCAUGUACCACAUCUGUGUACAUUUGAUGGUACAUGCUGAAGAUUUCAAAUUUACGUAUGGUUAUUAUGCUGCAACAGCAAACUGACACUCGAUGCAGAAACUUGAUUUGUAGAGAAUGCGAGGUUCUACACCCUCAAUGGAAGUGGCAGGACGGUAUAGCCUAAUUGCCGAAUUGGUUAAAAAUCUAGGAGCAUCUUAUCAGGGGGGUCCCCCUACCUGCAGGUCCUGACUGCGCUAGCGCGUGAACUCGUCGGUGGGGCGCGAAAUCACUUUCACCCUCAUUGCGCUCGCGGGGUCGGCAAGGCAGCGAGCCACUUGAAGAGAAUACGCCGCCGCAGAGCUAGGGUGUUGCGUUGCGCACCGCCCUCCUCCAAACCCUCGCCGCCCGCCGCCGAAGAAGGGCCUGACUGCCUGUGCCUGGAACUGGAACCAACGAGCAACGGCUCAAUCAAAU